UUAAACCUUGGUAUUAUAAAUUCAGGUACGGGUGAAGAUUUUAUUUUAUUGGCAAUGCUGUCGUUUUAUUCAUCAUUUGAAAGUCCGAGAAAUGCCUUGGUUUUUACGGGAUUGUUUUUCUGGUUGUCUUUUGUGUUGGUUUUACAUGGAUGGAUACGGCAGAAGGGUUAGAUUCUUGUAAGACUUGUAUGAUAAUUGUCAACUCUGUUUGUCGUUUCCUUCGUGUUGGUCGUUAAGCAUAA
rnacentral:lncRNA from 1 species